UUCAUUUCUAGGUGAGGGCUAUUGACAUUGCAGUGCUGGAAUUGCCAGCAUUUGUUUGGAGAGUUGGACACAACCAGGGCUUUGUUAUCAUGGUGCUGUCUCAUCUUUGCUUAUGAACCCUGUUGUGAUGGAGAGAAAAGGAAGAACAUCUGCUCCCUCCUGGAAGCCUUCACUUUGCAGAAUAAGACUCCAUUCAGGAAAUCCUUCUGUUGGUGCUAAUGGGAUGACCUCACAGACAGGAGAAAGCACCUGAUUUACAGCAAGGAAGGAACAGCUUAUAUGUACCGGUGACCUAAUGGAGGCAGGUAAAUGCUAAUUGUUUGCCUUGUGCUGUCC
rnacentral:lncRNA from 1 species